UACGAAGGGGGCUAGCGUUGUUCGGAAUUACUGGGCGUAAAGAGUGUGUAGGCGGUGCUCUAAGUUCGGUGUGAAAUCUCCCGGCUUAACUGGGAGGGUGCGCCGGAAACUGGAGUGCUCGAGCGUGGGAGAGGAAAGCGGAAUUCCUGGUGUAGCGGUGAAAUGCGUAGAUAUCAGGAGGAACACCUGCGGUGUAGACGGCUUUCUGGACCAUUGCUGACGCUGAGACACGAAAGCGUGGGUAGCAAACAGG
rnacentral:rRNA from 1 species